rnacentral:rRNA from 1 species
AACGAACGCUGGCGGCAGGCUUAACACAUGCAAGUCGAGCGCCUCGCAAGGGGAGCGGCAGACGGGUGAGUAACACGUGGGAAUCUACCCUUCGGUUCGGAACAACACGGAGAAAUCUGUGCUAAUACCGGAUACGGCCUAUGGGCGAAAGAUUUAUCGCCGAAGGAUGAGCCCGCGUCCGAUUAGCUAGUUGGUGUGGUAAUGGCGCACCAAGGCGACGAUCGGUAGCUGGUCUGAGAGGAUGACCAGCCACACUGGGACUGAGACACGGCCCAGACUCCUACGGGAGGCAGCAGUGGGGAAUAUUGGACAAUGGGCGCAAGCCUGAUCCAGCCAUGCCGCGUGAGUGAUGAAGGCCUUAGGGUUGUAAAGCUCUUUCACCCACGACGAUAAUGACGGUAGUGGGAGAAGAAGCCCCGGCUAACUUCGUG